rnacentral:rRNA from 1 species
UUUGAAGGUUUAAAAUUAUUUGCUGUGAAUUUGUAGUUGUGUGUGAAGGGUGUUUAUGUUAAUAUUGAAAAUUUAUUGGAGGGAGGGAGGUUGUUAUUUUGUAGAUGAGUGGUAGUUUUUAUAAUGAAUUUGACAUGGUUUGAUUUGGGGUUGUUUAAAGUAAAAUUUUAGAAUUAUCUUAUUUUUUAGUAAGGUGAGUAUUAUCGAAGGGUGAUUUAUUUUUAAGUGAAUAAUUAAUUUUCUUUGUUUUAUUUUUAAAUGUUAGGAGUUUAUUUUUAAUAAAAUAAAUAUGUAUAUUAAUAUAAGUGAAUUAUUUAGUUUAAGUAUGGUGUAGUGAAUUUAGUAAUCUUAUUUAUAGUGAAUUAGUACUGUGAAGGGAAUAUGAAAUAUUAAUGAAAAAUUUUUUAUUGAGAAGUAGACUGAAGGUUGUACCUUGUGUAUCAGGGUUUAUUAAUUAUAAAUUGUGGAUUCAAUUUUCCCGAAGUGGAAAGAGUUAAAUUUAUAAUAUGGUUAUUGUAGUAUAAAUAUCAUAAAUAUAAUUUUUGUAAUGAAAUGUUAAGCGCUUUUUAUGAUAUCUGGUUUUUUAAGAAAUAAAUUGAAUUUAAUGAUAUUUUUGGUAAUGGUUUCGUUUUUGAAUAAUUUAUGAAAAUAUAAUAUAUAUUUUUCGGGAUAAGCUGAGGAAUAUAAUAAUUAUAAUUUUAAAGUUGUGUUUAAUGUUUUAGGCUUUGAAUUAGCUUUUUGUGUAAAAUUGUUAUAAGGUAAUUAAUAUUUAAUAUAAUUUUGAGAAAUUUAAUUUUUUUAUUAGAAUGAAAUGGUUAAUGAUUAUAAAUAUUGGAAAUUAUGAUAAAAUGAGUAUAAAAUUUUAUGGAAAAAAUUAAUUUGUUUAGAUAAUUAAGGUUGAGGAAUUAGGCAAAUAUAUAUAUAUUCGCAUGUUUAUCAAAAACAUCUCUUUUUGUGAUUAAUAAAAAGUAGGGCCUGCCCACUGAAUUUUGAAGGGCCGCGGUAAUUUGACCGUGCAAAGGUAGCAAAAUCAUUAGUCUUUUAAUUGGGGGCUGGAAUGAAUGGUUUGAUGAAAUAAAAGCUGUCUUAACUUUAUUAAAAUAAAAAUUAACUUUUUAGUCAAAAGGCUAAAAUAAUAGUAAGGGACGAGAAGACCCUAUAGAGUUUUACUUAAUGGUGGGUUAUUUUAGUUAGGAUUAAUUAAUAAUUUGAUUUAUCUAAAGUUUUGUUGGGGUGACAUGAAGAAUUAAUAAACUCUUUUUUAUUAAAAUAACAUAAAUUAGUGGGUAAUUGAUCCAAUUUUAUUGAUUAUUAGAUUAAAUUACCUUAGGGAUAACAGCGUAAUUUUUUUGGAGAGUUCUUAUCGAUAAAAAAGAUUGCGACCUCGAUGUUGGAUUAAGAAAAUUUUUAGGUGUAGCAGCUUAAAACAAUAAGUCUGUUCGACUUUUAAAUUCUUACAUGAUCUGAGUUCAGACCGGCGUGAGCCAGGUCGGUUUCUAUCUUUAUAAUUUUAGGAAAUUUUAGUACGAGAGGACCAAGUUUCGAAAAUAAUUUUUUUGAUGAUGGAUUAUAGUAAAAUG